AUUGCACGCUGGCGGCAGGCCUAACACAUGCAAGUCGAACGCGUGGCGGACGGGUUAGUAAUGUCUGGGACACUGCCCGAUGGAGGGGGAUAACUACUGGAAACGGUAGCUAAUACCGCAUACCAUCGGAUGUGCCCAGCUGGGCUUAGCUGGUAGGUGAGGUAACGGCUCACCUAGGCGACGAUCCCUAGCUGGUCUGAGAGGAUGACCAGCCACACUGGAACGGAGACACGGUCCAGACUCCUACGGGAGGCAGCAGUGGGGAAUAUUGCACAAUGGGCGAAAGCCUGAUGCAGCCAUGCCGCGUGUAUGAAGAAGGCCUUCGGGUUGUAAAGUACUUUCAGCGGGGAGGCGUUACCCGCAGAAGAAGCACCGGCUAACUCCGUGCCAGCAGCCGCGGUAAUUC
rnacentral:rRNA from 1 species